rnacentral:rRNA from 1 species
UACGUAGGGGGCAAGCGUUGCCCGGAUUUACUGGGCGUAAAGGGCGCGUAGGCGGCCAGCACAAGUCAGUUGUGAAAUCUCCGGGCUUAACUCGGAAAGGUCAACUGAUACUGUGCGGCUAGAGUGCAGAAGGGGCAACUGGAAUUCUCGGUGUAGCGGUGAAAUGCGUAGAUAUCGAGAGGAACACCUGCGGCGAAGGCGGGUUGCUGGGCUGACACUGACGCUGAUGCGCGAAAGCCAGGGGAGCGAACGGG